rnacentral:rRNA from 1 species
AUAUCAAUAAGCGGAGGAAAAGAAACUAACAAGGAUUCCCCUAGUAACUGCGAGUGAAGCGGGAAAAAGCUCAAAUUUAAAAUCUGGUGGUCUUUGGCCAUCCGAGUUGUAAUUUAGAGAAGCGUCUUCCGCGCCGGACCCGUGCACAAGUCUCCUGGAAUGGAGCGUCAUAGAGGGUGAGAAUCCCGUCUUUGGCAUGGAUGCACCAGGGCUUCUGUGAUGCGCUCUCAAAGAGUCGAGUUGUUUGGGAAUGCAGCUCAAAAUGGGUGGUGAACUCCAUCUAAAGCUAAAUAUUGGCGAGAGACCGAUAGCGAACAAGUACCGUGAGGGAAAGAUGAAAAGAACUUUGAAAAGAGAGUUAAACAGUAC